CGACGGAGGGUGCAAGCGUUACUCGGAAUUACUGGGCGUAAAGCGUACGUAGGCGGCUUGUCAAGUUGGAUGUGAAAUCCCACAGCUUAACUGUGGAACUGCGUCCAAAACUGGCAGGCUCGAGAACAUUAGGGGACAGUGGAACUCCAGGUGGAGCGGUGAAAUGCGUAGAGAUCUGGAGGAACACCGGUGGCGAAAGCGACUGUCUGGGCUGUUUCUGACGCUGAGGUACGAAAGCUAGGGGAGCGAACGGGAUUAGAUACCCCAGUAGUCC
rnacentral:rRNA from 1 species